UACGUAGGUGGCAAGCGUUAUCCGGAAUUAUUGGGCGUAAAGGGCUCGUAGGCGGUUUGUCGCGUCGGGAGUGAAAACUCAGGGCUUAACCCUGAGCCUGCUUCCGAUACGGGCAGACUAGAGGUAUGCAGGGGAGAACGGAAUUCCUGGUGUAGCGGUGAAAUGCGCAGAUAUCAGGAGGAACACCGAUGGCGAAGGCAGGUCUCUGGGCCGAUACUGACGCUGAGGAGCGAAAGCGUGGGGAGCGAACAGG
rnacentral:rRNA from 1 species